rnacentral:rRNA from 1 species
GCUAUCGGAGUCCGAUUUAGCCAUGCUAGUCGCACGGGUUCAGACCCGUGGCGAAUAGCUCCGUAACACGUGGCCAAUCUACCCUUCAGCGGUGGACACCCUCGGGAAACUGAGGCUAAUCCACCAUAGCACUCACACCCUGGAAUGGGGCGAGUGUGAAAGCUCAGGCACUGAAGGAUGAGGCUGCGGCCGAUUAGGUAGACGGUGGGGUAACGGCCCACCGUGCCAAUAAUCGGUACGGGUUGUGAGAGCAAGAACCCGGAGACGGACUCUGAGACACGAGUCCGGGCCCUACGGGGCGCAGCAGGCGCGAAACCUUUACACUGCACGACAGUGCGAUAGGGGGACACCGAGUGCGAGGGCAUAGAGCCCUCGCUUUUCUGAACCUUAAGGUGGUUCAGGAACAAGGGCUGGGCAAGACCGGUGCCAGCCGCCGCGGUAACACCGGCAGCCCAAGUGAUGGCCGAUAUUAUUGGGCCUAAAGCGUCCGUAGCUGGCCGCGCAAGUUCGUCGGGAAAUCCACGCGCUUAACGUGUGGGCGUCCGGCGAAAACUGUGCGGCUUGGGACCGGAAGAUCUGAGGGGUACGUCUGGGGUAGGAGUGAAAUCCCGUAAUCCUGGACGGACCACCGAUGGCGAAAGCACCUCAGAAGGACGGAUCCGACAGUGAGGGACGAAAGCUAGGGUCUCGAACCGGAUUAGAUACCCGGGUAGUCCUAGCCGUAAACGAUGCUCGCUAGGUGUGGCACAGGCUACGAGCCUGUGCUGUGCCGUAGGGAAGCCGUGAAGCGAGCCGCCUGGGAAGUACGUCUGCAAGGAUGAAACUUAAAGGAAUUGGCGGGGGAGCACUACAACCGG